ACGGGAGGCAGCAGUCGGGAAUUUUGCGCAAUGGAGGAAACUCUGACGCAGUGACGCCGCGUGCAGGAAGAAGGUUUUCGGAUUGUAAACUGCUUUAGACAGGGAAGAAAAAGGACAGUACCUGUAGAAUAAGCUCCGGCUAACUACGUGCCAGCAGCCGCGGUAAUACGUAGGGAGCAAGCGUUAUCCGGAUUUAUUGGGUGUAAAGGGUGCGUAGAUGGGAAUGCAAGUUAGUUGUGAAAUCCCUCGGCUUAACCGAGGAACUGCAACUAAAACUAUAUUUCUUGAGUACUGGAGAGGAAAGUGGAAUUCCUAGUGUAGCGGUGAAAUGCGUAGAUAUUAGGAGGAACACCAGUGGCGAAGGCGACUUUCUGGACAGUAACUGACAUUGAGGCACGAAAGUGUGGGGAGCAAACAGGAUUAGAUACCCUGGUA
rnacentral:rRNA from 1 species